rnacentral:rRNA from 1 species
GAGUCUGAUCGUGGCUCAGAACGAACGCUGGCGGCAGGCUUAACACAUGCAAGUCGAACGCAUCCUUCGGGGUGAGUGGCAGACGGGUGAGUAACGCGUGGGAACGUGCCCUUCAGUUCGGGAUAACCCAGGGAAACUUGGGCUAAUACCGGAUACGUGCGAGAGCAGAAAGAUUUAUCGCUGAAGGAUCGGCCCGCGUCUGAUUAGCUAGUUGGUGGGGUAAUGGCCCACCAAGGCGACGAUCAGUAGCUGGUCUGAGAGGAUGAUCAGCCACAUUGGGACUGAGACACGGCCCAAACUCCUACGGGAGGCAGCAGUGGGGAAUAUUGGACAAUGGGCGCAAGCCUGAUCCAGCCAUGCCGCGUGAGUGAUGAAGGCCUUAGGGUUGUAAAACUCUUUCGUCCGGGACGAUAAUGACGGUACCGGAAGAAGAAGCCCCGGCU